rnacentral:rRNA from 1 species
UACAGAGGUCUCAAGCGUUGUUCGGAUUCAUUGGGCGUAAAGGGUGCGUAGGCGGCGCGUUAAGUCAGUGGUGAAAGCCUCCAGCUCAACUGGAGAACUGCCAUUGAUACUGGCGGGCUUGAGUACAGACGAGGUUGGCGGAAUUGAUUGUGUAGCGGUGAAAUGCAUAGAUACAAUCAAGAACACCGAUUGCGUAGGCAGCUAACUAGGCUGUAACUGACGCUGAGGCACGCAAGCGUGGGGAGCGAACAGG